rnacentral:misc_RNA from 1 species
AACGCACCUUGCGCUCCUUGGUAUUCCUUGGAGCAUGCCUGUUUGAGUAUCAUGAAAUUAUCAAAAUAAGUCUUUUGUUCAUUCGAUUGACUUUUAUUUUGGACUUGGAGGUCUGCAGAUUCACGUCUGCUCCUCUUAAAUAAAUUAGCUGGAUCUCAGUGAGCUCGGUUCCACUCGGCGUGAUAAGUAUCACUCGCUGAGGACACUGUAAAAAGGUGGCCGGGAUUGCGGAUGAACCGCUUCUAAUCGUCCAUUUACUUGGACAAUAAAUACUUUAUGAUCUGAUCUCAAAUCAGGUAGGACUACCCGCUGAACUUAA